UACGAAGGGGGCUAGCGUUGCUCGGAAUUACUGGGCGUAAAGGGAGCGUAGGCGGACAGUUUAGUCAGAGGUGAAAGCCCAGGGCUCAACCUUGGAAUUGCCUUUGAUACUGGCUGUCUUGAGUGCGGGAGAGGUGUGUGGAACUCCGAGUGUAGAGGUGAAAUUCGUAGAUAUUCGGAAGAACACCAGUGGCGAAGGCGACACACUGGCCCGUUACUGACGCUGAGGCUCGAAAGCGUGGGGAGCGAACAGG
rnacentral:rRNA from 1 species